GGAACCCGCUUGCAUUCUCCCAGUUGCGGUACAAUGCUGUUGGACAAAGGAAUAUACCUGCGUACUGAAUGCCGCUCUGAAUGCGACGGCGUGGUGAAACCUCUUCAAUCUGGUGAACAUUGCGCCGUGAUUACUCACCAUCGACCAACUUAUGACACUUAUCGCUCUAGCUACUCUUAUGUCUGCCGCGUGGGAUAUU